AUUGCACGACUACAGAGCCAUAGGGGCUCUAGGUUUGUAAGUACAUUUAUUACUUACCACUUCUCUUAUUUGAACAUCAACUGUGCUACCCUAUUGUGGUUUUUCCAACUUUCCUAGGACCACACACAGAUCUCUUCAUAGGGGUGGGUCGCCGUAACGGACCCGAAGCCAACCACACCAGAGCUAGGUUUAUAGCUCUAUGUUUGUGAGUGUUCCUA